CGGCUUUCCAUACUUUAUGCUAGGUGGGAGGAGAAUAGGUUCAUCAAUGCGAUUGUCCCAGAUGCCAAAGGUGUCCCAUGUGGCGGGCCGCCCGCUCCCGUCCGGAUCGAAGCGGGAUGCCCGGCGUUCGGAGGUGGAAAUGCAGCACUCGGCUGUCGUACGCUUCUCGUCUUGCAAGAGGCGGGAUGUCAGCAGGGCUCUCCUUCGUACUUGAUAACCUCCGUUUCUUACCAAAUGGAUUAAAGCAGCUGUUGACAUAACUUGUCUUCGCAGAGAUUCGUAGGGAUAAAAGAGAUGUAGCAGCUGGAAUGUCUUCAAGAACAAAGAGAAAACUGAUCAAGAAUCAGCACAGGAAGGGGGACUAUCACUUACAUCAUUCAGGAUACAAUUUCACAGUCAGAGCCCCUAAUAUAGCACAGCACUGCCUAGAAGAGGCUACAGAGCCUCUGCAUGACUCAUCGAGAAACAAUCCUGCACAGACCAGCCCACAGUUACUGUUCUGAUGAGGAGUGCUGCAGAUAAAUUGAGGCAAGGCAUCUCCACUGGCCACCUCCAUCGUCAUAUCCCAUAUUUUCAGAGGUGGCAGGGGUUGUGAUGGAGCUAACGAGGGUGACAUUGAAUUUGUUUCCUCUCAUCAAAACUAGGGAAAUGUUGGAAGUAUGAGGUAAUUUCUUUGUCUCUUCUGCUUUCUUCGCUCAACUUGAUUGGUGAAAACUUUUGAAAUCAGUCCUGCAGGAGUUAAGGUAAGUGAAAAUAUUUUUUAUUUGACUAUGUCAGAACUGCUAAGGAGAAGCUUUUGGCUGUAUGGGUGGAAUGGUCAGAUCCUCAAAGGUGAGAAAGAGAGUAGUGCCUGAGGAGGAGUUGUGCGUAGCAGGCAAUGUAAAAUUUUCAUGUACAAACUCUUUAU
rnacentral:lncRNA from 1 species